UACGUAGGGUGCAAGCGUUGUCCGGAAUUAUUGGGCGUAAAGAGCUCGUAGGCGGUUUGUCGCGUCUGCUGCGAAAACCCGAGGCUCAACCUCGGGCCUGCAGUGGGUACGGGCAGACUAGAGUGCGGUAGGGGAGAUUGGAAUUCCUGGUGUAGCGGUGGAAUGCGCAGAUAUCAGGAGGAACACCGGUGGCGAAGGCGGGUCUCUGGGCAACAACUGACGCUGGAGGAGCGAAAGCGUGGGGAGCGAACAGG
rnacentral:rRNA from 1 species